rnacentral:lncRNA from 1 species
CAAACUUCAUCAAUGACCGAGCUUCUCCAAUAGUAAGACUUCUACAGUAAUCAGACUCUGUCCAAGUUUCUACGGUGGCCGGCCGCCUUUUGAAUUUCAUCCGAGCUCUUGCAAGAGCCGGACUUCGUCCGAACUCUUACAAUGGAUGGAUCCCAGAUGAACUUCUACAACGGAUGGGCUCCACCAGUCGAAUCUCUACUCCAAAC